UUUCGAUGAAAAUGUGAAUUUACGUAAACAUUCGCGAUCUGUUUCUUACGUUUACGAAGGUAAAUCGAAAUACGAAGAAGAAGCAGCGAUCGAGGAAGAUAUUAACAGAAAAGAUUACUUUUCUCGGCUUGUAAAUUUUUGGAGUUGAUCAGCGUUGACUCGUGAACGACUGAUACAACAAAACGAAACACGUAUUCAGUGUUAUAUGAAAAAUUGCAAAGCGGUGGAAAGUCAAGGUAACCCAAUUCGGAGGUAAAAAAUCGAGCACGAUCGUCCGCGGGGCAAGAAGACCCUUAAGGCGUGUCCACGUGCAGGAAUCGCAACGCAUGCUGGCCGGCUGCUGCGAGCUUUAUGAUCGAAAGAGAGAUCGCGCGGAGGAUGGGUUAACAAUGCGCGGGAGCGAGAAGGAGAAUGUCAAGUGGACAUUGUUGACGGUGACAAUGCCGCUGAAAUUGCCGGAGAACAAAGAGGUCUUACGAUGACGCUGCUGGCGGACGAGCGAGCGAGCGAGCGAAUUGAGCGAGUUGCUCGUGGACAGGGACUUCCCGUAUAUUCUCCUGCAUACUGGCCCGCUCUUCGCGCACACUCUCUCUUUCUUCCUCUGCGUCGAACCAAGCGGCAGAGAACCGCGUUUCGUCUUCGUCGUUUGGCGAACACAUCGUACGCCACCCCUUGUGUAUCGCAUGGCAUUAUAACUAUCGGCUCUAUCGCGACGCCUGUGUCGAUACUCGUGAAUUAAGCACCUUGAUCCAUUAAGGAUCGGCGUACUCGUGUGUUCGGAGUUAACGGGUCUGUUUGGCAUUGUUUUAACGCCGCGGUGACCGUGUGCAGCGCCGUUAAUACGACGGCUGAUAACGCGUUAACGGCAUUACGUCAUCGUUUACCGAAUACAAGCAAACGGUUUGCAUAUCAAUCAGACGUAAACCGAAUGAUCGUUUCCACCGUUCGAUCACCAACACGUCGAUCCCACGAUUUGUAGCAGUAAUUCUGAUUUUAUUCGUUAUUCCCAUGGGAAUUAAUUAACAGCGAAAGGAGAUGGAAUUUAACCGACAGGUAUUGUGGUCAUUUAAUCACGUGGACAAGCCAAUUUUGAGGAAUUUACAAAAGGUGCAAGGUUGCGAAACAACUAUGGAAUUGAGAACGAUUCGUUACUACCCCCAAAGCCGAAGACGACAAAGAGAUUCUUUUUUUGGUCGAACCUCGAAGAGAAGCAAGGAUGUCAGAAUGAGAAAGUAACGACGCGCGGAGCGAAGACGCGGUUGGCAAUAGAAGGGUGAUUCCAGAGUGAAGCAUUGUGUCCCGAACGCGCAUUGUCCUCCCGUCACCGGCAACUCGACAAUGCCGAGUCCCAACAAGACAAAGGUCUUCGUCGGAGCUUCGAAUUCCGCUUCUCAAAUAAAUAGAGUCGUAAAACACACUGACGGCUAAUGCCAAGAGAUUAAUAACUAAAAUCCUUGCUCGAACCGAAAAACGACUAAUAGUAAAACAGGUUCUUCCUUUUCUUAAUUAAUGAAAUUUCGUCGUAUGAUUUUUCAUAAGUAUAACGUAGCAGUUUUACAACUACGUCGAUUAAUGGUAGAGAGCCGAAGAAGUCGAUCGUCAGCAAGCAGAGAAACACUCUGGGAUCGGAAGCGAACGUCCUGGGGACCGGAUACAAA